CCCUGGGAUUCCAAAUGAAAAGCCAUAGGUUUCUCUCAUUGCUUUCAUUUCUUAGUGUAAUUAGAAACCCUAGGUCAUUCUCUCUCUAGAAACCGAAAGAGGUCUUCUCAUUUCUCUCAGCCCUUUCUCAAAUCAACACAAACCUUAGGUAGAAGCCAUAGCCACUCCUCUAUCAACUAUGAGAAAUGUCUUCAUAACUCUCGACACAAAAUCUAGUCUUCAUUGUUGUUCAACACAAACCCUUCGCCUCCAUUUCUCUCGAUUUGAAAUUGUAAUCCAUGCUGCCAUGAUUCUUGGUCCGGUUCAUGGAAGCCAUCAUCUGCACUGGAUCUUAGUAGCGAAACCCCUAAGUCAAAGGUAAAAAUCUCAUUUUGCUGCCAUAGAGUUCCAUUGAGUUUAUUGUCAUGGAAAAAUCAAAGAACUAACACAUCCAUGUAACAUUUUUUUUUCUUUUUUGUGAGAGUACACGGAUCUACAACAAGGGAGGCGCACCAACGCCCAAAAGUUCCAGAUCCAUGGUGGAUCGUCCAAGACUCCCCCAUCUUUAGAGCGGACUCCAAAGCUUGGAUACAACAUUACACAAGAGAGACAAAACACAGAUCAAAAUCCAAAUUAAAGAUUCAUGCCCUCAGUUGACUGUGUUGGUUUUGCAUGUCAAAGAUCUGUUGAUUUGCAAGAAUGAUAAAGUUUGGGGGUAGUUUGCGUAGGGUUCUCACGGAUUCGUUCACUGGUUGUUUUGUUGCACGAAUACUUGAGAUUUGUUCGCUGGAAAAUGCAAUGAAUGUAGGGAGGCCAACUUGAAAGGGAAAGAAAUGGUUCAAAAGGUGGUUUAUAUUUUUUUAUUAUUAAUAUAUUUUCUAUCGAUUUUAUCUGACAGAUAAUACUUUUCGUAGUAGUGA